ensembl:lncRNA
UUCCGCUUUUGUCGUUUAAAUGCUGUCCGUACACAACACAAAUGACACCAGUUCGAUCGCUAACACACUUAAGUCUCACUAGGGAGAAGAAAAACCUUGCAAAAUGCGACCUACUAGUAACAGUCUGGAGCCCUGACUUUUCCCAAAUAACUUGUCGAACUGGUUUAAUAUCUUCUCUGACAUCGAACGCAGACUUGUGGAGCGUAACGUUAGUUGUUUUAGCAAAACAAAAGACAGGACAGAACUACACUUAAAGCGUUUUCUGAACUAACUGGUUGUGUACGAUGAAAUUACACACAAAACCCAUCUCGCUCUUCACACUGAUUCUGCUGUUUCACACUGUCCAAGCAGAAGCUUCUCAUGAUGAGGCUCUGAGGAUCCUGGUUGUGGGAGUCAGAGAUUGUAAAGACUCCAGUAAUUACAGACGGGGCUCGUAGAAUGAUGCUGGUCACUGGACCAAACCUCUGUGAGGAGGACACAGAGAGACAGACCUUCACAACAGCGCUGUUUCUCUCGUCUCCUGGACCUCACGCCGUUCUAAUGGUCCUGAAUCUGGAAGAUCAACAAUCACAACAGUGUGAUAUUGAGAAACGAGCCCAGGAGCUGCUGGGAGCAGAAGUCCUGCAAUACUGCAUUGUUCUUCUGCUCCAAAAUCACCAGGAACCUUUGACAGGAGCCUCCAGAGGGAUUGCUGGAGAAAUGAUCAACGCAUGUGGAGGA